UAUUACCGCGGCUGCUGGCACAGAGUUAGCCGGCGCUUCCUCACCCGGUACCGUCAAUCACCUCGAAAGAUGAGUUUCGUUCCGGGCAACAGCGGUUUACACCCCGAAGAGCUUCCUCCCGCACGCGGCGUCGCUGCGUCAGUCUUUCGACCAUUGCGCAAGAUUCCCCACUGCUGCCUCCCGUAGGGGGAGGCAGCAGUAGGGAAUCUUCCACAAUGGACGAAAGUCUGAUGGAGCAACGCCGCGUGAGUGAAGAAGGUUUUCGGAUCGUAAAACUCUGUUGUGAGGGAAGAACAAGUACGAGAGUAACUGCUCGUACCUUGACGGUACCUCAUUAGAAAGCCACGGCUAACUACGUGCCAGCAGCCGCGGUAAUA
rnacentral:rRNA from 1 species